UGGGGUAUCGCCAAGCGGUAAGGCACCGGUUUUUGAUACCGGCAUUCCCUGGUUCGAAUCCAGCACCCCAGCCA
rnacentral:tRNA from 1 species